rnacentral:rRNA from 1 species
UACGUAGGGUCCGAGCGUUGUCCGGAUUUAUUGGGCGUAAAGAGCUCGUAGGCGGCUCGGUAAGUCGGAUGUGAAAACUCGGGGCUCAACCCCGAGACGCCAUCCGAUACUGCUGUGGCUUGAGUCUGGUAGGGGAGAACGGAAUUCCUGGUGUAGCGGUGAAAUGCGCAGAUAUCAGGAGGAACACCGGUGGCGAAGGCGGUUCUCUGGGCCAGUACUGACGCUGAGGAGCGAAAGCGUGGGUAGCAAACAGG